UAAUAUAUCUGAAAUAAUUAAAGUAAAAGUUAAUCUAAAAAUUAUCAACUAUAACAUUUUUCCUGUUGUUAAGCCAAUGAAAUUUAUUGAUUAAAAAUUCCCGAAUUAGGAACACAAAAGAGGAUAUCAAUCACACACCAUAGAUAUCCCGGAAAACAUUUAAAAAAAAAAAUCAAAUACAAAACUCGCCUAAAAACAACUCAUAGACAAUGAACGAAAAAAUGUUUUUGCCUACAAAACAUGCAAUAAAAUUUAACUGGACAAAAACAGUCACAAUUCAAAAUCAAAAUCACUAGACGACUGUUAUCAACCCAAACAAACACCGUAGACGGUAAACUCCCAC
rnacentral:lncRNA from 1 species